rnacentral:rRNA from 1 species
GGGCCCGCACAAGCGGAGGAACAUGUGGUUUAAUUCGAUGAUACGCGAGGAACCUUACCCGGGCUUGAAAUAUGUCUGACAGGAGUAGAGAUACUUUUUCUAGUAAUAGCAGACAUGUAGGUGCUGCAUGGUUGUCGUCAGCUCGUGCCGUGAGGUGUCGGCUUAAGUGCCAUAACGAGCGCAACCCUUGCCUAUAGUUGCCAUCGGGUCAUGCCGGGGACUCUAUAGGGACUGCCACCGCAAGGUGCGAGGAAGGUGGGGAUGACGUCAAAUCAGCACGGCCCUUACGUCCGGGGCUACACACGUGUUACAAUGGGAGGGACAGCAGGAAGCUAAGCAGCGAUGCGGUGCGGAUCUCAAACCCUUCCUUAGUUCGGAUUGGAGUCUGCAACUCGACUCCAUGAAGCUGGAUUCGCUAGUAAUCGCGCAUCAGCCACGGGCG